CCAUAUCCUAUCAGCUAGUUGGUGAGGUAAUGGCUCACCAAGGCUUACGGGUAGCGGGUCUGAGAGGAUGAUCCGUCACACUGGGACUGAGACACUGCCCAGACUCCUACGGGAGGCUGCAGUCGAGAAUCAUUGUCAAUGCACGAAAGUGUGAACAUGCGACGCCGCGUGGAGGAAGACGGCCUUUGGGUUGUAAACUCCUGUCAGCAGGGAGUAAGGAUAGGUAACCUAAUACGUUUUCUAUUUGAUAGUACCUGCAGAGGAAGUCACGGCUAACUCUGUGCCAGCAGCCGCGGUAAUACAGAGGUGGCGAACGUUGUUCGGAUUUACUGGGCGUAAAGGGUCCGCAGGCGGCUUGGUGUGUCAGAUGUGAAAGCCCACGGCUCAACCGUGGAAUUGCAUUUGAAACUGCCGAGCUAGAGUACUGGAGGGGAGAAGGGAACACUUGGUGUAGCGGUGAAAUGCGUAGAUAUCAAGUGGAACACCGGCGGCGAAGGCGCUUCUCUGGACAGAUACUGACGCUCAUGGACGAAAGUUAGGGUAGCGAAAGGGAUUAGAUACCCCUGUAGUCCUAACCGUAAACGGUGUGCGCUAGACGUGGGAGGCUUUACCCCCUUCCGUGUCUGAGCUAACGCAUUAAGCGCACCGCCUGGGGAGUACGGUCGCAAGAUUAAAACUCAAAGGAAUUGACGGGGACCCGCACAAGCGGUGGAGCAUGCGGCUUAAUUCGAUGCAACGCGAAGAACCUUACCUGGGCUUGACAUAUAGCUGCAUCCGACCCGAAAGGGACGGAGCCUUCGAGGGUGCUAUACAGGUGCUGCAUGGCUGUCGUCAGCUCGUGCCGUGAGGUGUUGGGUUAAGUCCCGCAACGAGCGCAACCCCUGUGUUUAGUUGCCAGCACGUAAUGGUGGGAACUCUAAACAGACUGCUUGUGAAAACAAGAGGAAGGUGGGGAUGACGUCAAGUCAGUAUGGUCCUUAUGUCCAGGGCUGCACGCGUGCUACAAUGGGAUGUACAAUGGGAGGCUAAGCCGCGAGGUGGAGCAAAUCCUCAAAACAUCCCCCAGUUCGGAUUGUAGUCUGAAACUCGACUGCAUGAAGUUGGAAUCGCUAGUAAAGGUAUAUCAGCUACGAUACCUUGAAUACGUUCCCGGGUCUUGUACACACCGCCCGUCACAUCAUGGAAGUCUGUUGCACCCGAAGUCGUUGAUCCAACCUCUCACGAGGAGGAAGGCGCCUAAGGUGUGAUAGG
rnacentral:rRNA from 1 species